rnacentral:rRNA from 1 species
GAUGAACGCUUGCGGCAGGCUUAAUACAUGCAAGUCGAACGGUAACAGGCCUUCGGGUGCUGACGAGUGGCGGAUGGGUGAGUAACGCGUAUGCAACCUACCUCGUGUCGAGAAAAAGUCGACUGAAAAGUCGAUUAAAGUUUCGUAGUGUACAGGCUACGCAUGUAGCUUGUAUGAUAGACGCAAGUUGGCGCGAGAUGGGCAUGCGUAUCAUUAGCUAGUUGGUAGGGUAACGGCCUACCAAGGCGACGAUGAUUAGGGGUUCUGAGAGGGAGGUCCCCCCCACUGGGACUGAGACACGGCCCAGACUCCUACGGGAGGCAGCAGUAGGGAAUAUUGGUCAAUGGGCGGAAGCCUGAACCAGCCAUGCCGCGUGAUGGACGACGGCCUUCGGGUUGUAAACAUCUUUUCUGCUAGAGGAAUAUAGCUUAUGUAUAGGCAGAUGACUGUAUAGCAGGAAUAAGGAUCGGCUAACUCCGUGCCAGCAGCCGCGGUAAUACGGAGGAUCCGAGCGUUAUCCGGAUUUACUGGGUUUAAAGGGUGCGCAGGCGGGCUCUUAAGUCAGUGGUGAAAAGCCUAGGCUUACCCUAGGUCGUGCCAUUGAUACUGGGAGUCUUGGAUAAGUAUAAGGAAGGCGGAAUGCGUAGUGUAGCGGUGAAAUGCUUAGAUAUUACGUAGAAGACCGAUUGCGAAGGCAGCUUUCUGGGUCUUAAUCGACGCUCAAGCACGAAAGCGUGGGUAGCGAACAGGAUUAGAUACCCUGGUAGUCCACGCCGUAAACGAUGAUCACUCGCUCUUGGCGAUAUGCUGUCAGGGGCCAAGCGAAAGCGUUAAGUGAUCCACCUGGGGAGUACGGCCGCAAGGCUGAAACUCAAAGGAAUUGACGGAGGCCCGCACAAGCGGAGGAACAUGUGGUUAAUUCGAUGGUACGCGAAGAACCUACCUGGGCUAGAACUGCAAGUGACUAGCGAGGGAAACUUUGUUAGCCCUUUUAGGCAGUCUGCAGAGGGGCCGCAUGGGUUGUCGUCAGCUCGUGCCGUGACGUGUCAGGUUAAGUCCAUAACAGCGCAUCCCUAUCGUAGUUACAUAGGUGAUCUGGGACUUGCGAACGCGGG